UGGGAGCCUGACGCGACUCGGGUCUGCUUGCGGGAGGGGCACGCCUGGGCUGAGCUGCCGGCCGGUGCCUGCCAGGUGCGCGGCGCGGGGCUGCGGCGGGCGGGCGCCCCAGAGAGGCAUCGCGGGUGGAGGGCGAGUCUCGAGAGCUUGCGGAACGGUCCAGCGCUAGGUUUGAAGCUGAGCCUUACGGAAAGUCCAUUCUCGGGCCGGCGGCUCCCAGGCUGGCAGCAAAGACCUCCCCUGAUAGGGGCAGGAGAGCACAACCCAGAGGCCCGACCGACGGGUUCUACCCCAGCACCUCCCUGGUGGGGCGCGGAAUUUGGCUCCGCGUCGCCAUCUCGUGGCCUUAUGGAGCAGCGCCUGCCUGGUAACUGGGGAUGUCGCAAGGCGGGAAGCGACCGAGGCACGCGAAGCCCUCAGGAGUGAUUGGCUUCCGAGACCCCGCCCCCUUGUUAGGGAGGUCCUGGAGCUGGGACUGCGGUUACCAUGGCAACGGUUGAGCAGGCCCAGUCCCUUCCUCUGGCCACCCAGAAUCCUGCUCAGGACCUCGCCGGAGACCGGGAUGUGGACACCAGCGUUCCUUUUCAUCCUCCUUGCUGAAUAACCUGUGUAGAUGAAGAUGCUGCCUCCCAAAGCAGCAAGGCCUUCACCAACCAAUGAGCCUGCAUACGUACUGUUCGUCCUGGAUCUGCUAAGGAAACACCAGAGCUGUGGAAGUCACAAUGCCUGCAGGACUGAAGAUGCAGGCGACACCAGCUUUGGAGAAAGAAAUGCAUAAAAUUAUUCCAGAACAUUCGAUCAUUCUAGACAGCAAAGAAGUUAUCAACCAAUCAAGGAUUCAAGGGUCAAUUUUUAAAUUUACUAUUUUU
ensembl:lncRNA